ACAGCAUCGCGCUGUCGGUUUCAUUUGGAGAUCAAUGUGAGCUGAUGUGCAGAAGAAGAAGAAGAGGUCAGUGCUUGUGGCUUCUCUUUGAUGAACAUCGUCGCAUCGAACAGCAGCAUGACAGUGAUCUCACCAGAUAAGGUACUUAAGCGUGAGCUGUGCACGCUGAGCAAGCGCAUGCCCUCCUGCAUGGUGCAGCAGAUUUCGGAUUGCCUACGCAGCUCACGUACGCUCACCGACUACGAGGUGCAGGUGAUUCGUGCCGCGGUCACAGACAUGCAACAAGCCACGUGUCUCCUGCAAACGCUCCUGCGCAAGGGCCGCACACCGUGUCUGCUCUUCUUCCGGUGCCUGUAUGUGUGCAGCCCCUCGCUCUUCCACACCGUCACCAGAGGCUUGGUGAAAGUUACUGAUGAGGAUCACCAUCACGUGGAGACGUCUUCCUUUGCAGAUGUGCGUUCAGAGUGCUUCUUAAGCCAUAGGAGAGGACUCGAGUGGAUACUGACCGGCAUUGCUUGUGCUCUAGAAAUUCCACUCUUAAGAAAGAGAAAAGGGAUGUAUGCAUGUCAGAGGCAGGAGAUUGUGGUCGACACAUGCGGUGUCGGAGGCUGCAGUGUGUGUUUGUGUGGAUCGGUUUUGUUUUAAGGCUGGAAAUGUACGUUCAGUUAUAUAGACCGUGAAGAUCAAUUCAUAUGGAAUUGAGCUUCAGCACGAGCUUUCUGGACCUGAUGGUGUUAAAGAAUGAGUUCUUCAGGCUCGUCGGGGUCUGCAAGUUUGAGAGGGUUUAUUAUUUCUAGUUCCCUGGACAUCUCUGACUCGGUGAACUGGUAGACAAAUUCAGUUUGGCCAGGGUUUUGGUAACAUAACAGUUUAGGUCAGCAAAGCAUACAUAAAAGUUGUUCUGGAAGUGUGUCUUCAAUGGGAAAGACGUUUGGGAUGUUUUUUUUGUUUGUUUGUUUGUUUGUUUGUUUGCUUCAUGUGUCAUUGGAUUGUUGUGGUUUGGUCUUAAUCAAUUGUUCUUCAUGUAAACCAGAUUCUCACUUCCAUUCAUCCAUGCUCAUAUGUGUAGGGAUAUAACCCCGGUGUCCUGGUGAAAUUCCCCCACUGGCCCUUCUCUAUCAUGGCCUCUAAUAAUCUCCAUCUCUGAAUGGGCUACAUCACUCUCUCCUCUCCACUAAUAGCUGGUGUGUGGUAGGCGUUCUGGUGCACUAUGGCUGCCGUCACAUCAUCCAGGUGGAUGCUACACACUAGUGGUGGUUGAGGAGAUCCCCCUCCCCCCAAAUACUAUAGGCAUCUGGACCUGUUCCCUCAUGUGUCAUAAACAUUAACAAUUCCUCGGUGUCCAACUGCAUCAUUGGAAACAACAACAGCUUGUGCUGUCUUCUCUCUCAGACUGAUGACAUUAACG